AGAGAGAGACAUGCGCGCAUAUCAAUAAGCGGAGGAAAAGAAACUAACAAGGAUUCCCCUAGUAACGGCGAGUGAAGCGGGAAGAGCUCAAAUUUGAAAUCUUAAAGGGUUUCCCUUUACGAAUUGUAGUUUAAAGAAGUGUUUUCUGUUGAGGUUUUGGUAAAAGUUCUUUGGAAUAGGACAUCAUAGAGGGUGAGAAUCCCGUAUUUGACCUUUACUUUCAACUUUGUGAUACACUUUCAAAGAGUCGGAUUGUUUGGGAAUGCAGUCCAAAAUGGGUGGUAAAUUUCAUCUAAAGCUAAAUAUUGGCGAGAGACCGAUAGCGAACAAGUACCGUGAGGGAAAGAUGAAAAGAACUUUGAAAAGAGAGUUAAACAGUACGUGAAAUUGUCAAAAGGGAAGCGUUUGACACCAGUGUUGUUUUUCUGAAAAUCAGUUAAAGAACUGUUUAUGCUAAGCUGUUUAGACUUUAUCAGCUAACUGUUUAGUUUUGAGCUUUUCUUUAAUGCACUUUUCAGUUAACAAGUCGACAUCAAUUUCUUUUGCUGUAAAAAAGCUUGAGGAAGGUGGCUUGAGAUUCGUCUUAAGUGUUUAUAGCCUCUUGCCUAUGCAGUCGGAGAGAUUGAGGUCUGCAGCGUAGAUCCUUCGGGGCUAAAUGCAUUUGUGCUAAGUUAUAGCAUUUUAUAGACAACUUGUUGACUAUGAUUUGUCUUGUAGCUUACUCGCUUAUGUUAUUUUACCUACGCUUAGGAUGUUGAGCGCAUGUCUCUCUCU
rnacentral:rRNA from 1 species